CUUGCUAAAAUCUGACAAUGGCAGUCUUUUUUCAACCAUGGAGAAAAAUGUGCUUCUAAACACUAAGAGAACGGGUCAAGGGCAGAGGAUUUCUGUGGGAUCUGUGCUCACUCAUAGUCAUGGUAGAGGAAGCUGAAUCCCAGAGCAAAGGACACCAGGAAGAGGAGAGGGUUUCUCUGGAAACAGCAGGGUAGGUGCAGGCUGACGUGCUUAUUGACAUGGCAACCUGAACACACCUGGAGACACCUGCUCCACCACCCAGAUGGCCAUGAAUGGAGCAAGUUCUUCCCACUGUUGCUCUCUUCUCUUUUCUGCAAAGUUACACAAGGGUCAAGUCCCAUCAAGGGUCCCAUCUCCAUCUUUUCUCAAGAUGAAGCUGGAAGUCAUCUUGCCACUGGGACCCACCCUUUGGAAAGACCUCUGCCCAGACAAGGAAAGUGCUGCCUCAAUUGCAUGAUUUGAGUGACUUUGGGAGGGUAUUCCUGUCCCCAAAUAGACCUCCUCUCCUGACAUGUCACACUGGCCGAAAUUCCACUAUUACAGCUGUUCUUUUCAGGUAAAAAGAAAUGAAACCUCUUUCUAAAUAUAAAC
rnacentral:lncRNA from 1 species